rnacentral:tRNA from 1 species
GCCGCGGUGGCGAAAUUGGUAGACGCGCUACGUUCAGGUCGUAGUGGGGGCAACCUCGUGGUGGUUCAAGUCCACUCCGCGGCA